AGCUUCAGUGGUUUGAGUAUCAAAAUAAAAUCAAAUUGGGUCCCUUCUUUUCAAUUGGAAUACAUUGGAAUGAACUCUUGCAAAUUUGGAACAGGGUUUCCUCAAUGGGUUCAAACGCAAUUGAAAGCAACAUCACUAGUUCUUUCCAAUACUAGCAUCUCGGGUAACCUUCCAAUAUUGCCUUCCAACUUGAAGCACGUCAAUCUCUCUAAUAACUGGAUCUCAGGGGCACUUCCCGAAAAUAUUGGUGAUAUCUUGCGUCAGUUGAGGAUUUUGAUUCUUUCUGACAACCUUAUGAACGGUUCCAUUCCAAACUCGCUUUGUCGUAUUAAAACUCUGGUAGUUCUAGAUCUUUCCAAAAAUACCUUGUCUGGGAACGUUCCUGACUGUUGGAAAGAUAAUCAUGACAUAGAAGUUUUAGAUCUAUCAUCUAACAAGCUCUCAGGUGUUAUCCCCAGCUCUAUUGGGCAUCUUGAUUCACAGAGAUGGUUUAUCUUGAGCAACAACAGUCUCAACGGCGAGCUACCAUUGGCCUUAAAAAAUUGCUCAUCUCUUAGAUUUUUGGAUCUUGGUGAGAAUACAUUAUCUGGAAAUGUAGCUAAAUGGAUCGGGGAAAGUUUUUGCUCCCUAGAAGUUCUCAGGUUACGAGAAAAUAAAUUCAAUGGUAGUAUCCCUUUGCAACUCUGCCAACUCUCUUCUGAUCUGCGAAUUCUUGAUCUUGCAGAAAACAAUCUAUAAGGGAGGAUACCUCAUUGCUUCGGCAACUUAACUGGCAUGGUCCUUCCUCGGAUGGAUGUCAUUAGUCUUAAAAGCUAUAAUUAUAAACACUUGCUAUGGUGGGAUGUGGAGCACUUAACAGAGGUCAUGAAAGGAAGAUUCCUCGAAUGCACAUCAACAUUGUCGUUUUUGGUAAAUUUGGACCUCUCAAGUAAUAAACUGGAGGGACAAAUCCCUGAAGAGCUAACUUUCCUUACAGGGUUAAUUGGUCUGAAUUUGUCUCGUAACCAGUUGUCAGGGAUGAUGCCUGAGAAGAUGGGGGAACUUGAGGUGCUGGAAUCUCUCGACUUGUCAUUAAAUGAACUUUCUGGCUUGAUUCCAAGUAGUUUGUCAACUCUAACUAAACUGAGUCACCUCAACUUGUCAUACAACAACUUCUCAGGGCAGAUUCCAAAUGGCAAUCAACUCCAAACUCUUGAUGAUCCAUCCAUUUAUGCUGAUAACCCCCUACUCUGUGGCACUUCACUAUUAAAGAAAUGCUUGGAUGAUGAGCCUCGUCAAGACAACAAAGACAAUGGUCCAAAGAUCGGGUGCUUGUGCUUGUAGCAUUGAAGAUGGCAAGUGUCAAAAACAUGAUCAAGGGAAACCGUACAGAUGAGUGAAAAUGAACUCAGGUACUAGCAUCUAUGAAAACAAUUGCAUUCAAGCUGCAAGAAUUUGACUUUGCACUUGCAAUCUAGUAGUUUUGCUUUUUGGUACUUUUAACUUAGUUCUAUUUUGUGUUAUGUAUUGUGAAUUUGUGAAUUGUGAUGGACUUC